CAUCUAAGCACGAAACUUGCCCCGAGAUGAGUUCUCCCUGAGACUUUAAGUCUCCUGAAGGAACGUUAAAGACGAUGACGUUGAUAGGUCGGGUGUGUAAGCGUAGCGAUACGUUGAGCUAACCGAUACUAAUGAACCGUGAGGCUUAACCUUACAACGCCGAAG
rnacentral:rRNA from 1 species